UACGUAGGGUGCAAGCGUUGUCCGGAAUUAUUGGGCGUAAAGAGCUCGUAGGCGGUUCGUCACGUCGGCUGUGAAAUCCCGAGGCUCAACCUCGGGCCUGCAGUGGGUACGGGCAGACUGGAGUGCGGUAGGGGAGAAUGGAAUUCCUGGUGUAGCGGUGGAAUGCGCAGAUAUCAGGAGGAACACCGGUGGCGAAGGCGGGUCUCUGGGCCGAUACUGACGCUGAGGAGCAAAAGCGUGGGGAGCGAACAGG
rnacentral:rRNA from 1 species